CGGCGACUGGUCGCGCGGCUGGUCUUUGUCGAAGCAAAGCUGGUGCUGCCAGCACGAGCAGCUCGGCUGCUUCGAUUCG
rnacentral:tRNA from 1 species